rnacentral:rRNA from 1 species
UACGUAGGGGGCAAGCGUUGUCCGGAAUCAUUGGGCGUAAAGAGCGUGUAGGCGGCCCGGUAAGUCCGCUGUGAAAGUCCAGGGCUCAACCCUGGGAUGCCGGUGGAUACUGUCGGGCUCGAGUCCGGAAGAGGAGUGUGGAAUUCCUGGUGUAGCGGUGAAAUGCGCAGAUAUCAGGAGGGACACCAAUGGCGAAGGCAGCACUCUGGGACGUGACUGACGCUGAGACGCGAAAGCGUGGGGAGCAAACAGG